UUUUGUAGAAUGAACCGGCGAGUUACGAUUUGAUGCAAGGUUAAGCAGUAAAUGUGGAGCCGUAGCGAAAGCGAGUCUGAAUAGGGCGUUUAGUAUUUGGUCGUAGACCCGAAACCAGGUGAUCUACCCUUGGUCAGGUUGAAGUUCAGGUAACACUGAAUGGAGGACCGAACCGACUUACGUUGAAAAGUGAGCGGAUGAACUGAGGGUAGCGGAGAAAUUCCAAUCGAACCUGGAGAUAGCUGGUUCUCUCCGAAAUAGCUUUAGGGCUAGCCUCAAGUGAUGAUUAUUGGAGGUAGAGCACUGUUUGGACGAGGGGCCCCUCUCGGGUUACCGAAUUCAGACAAACUCCGAAUGCCAAUUAAUUUAACUUGGGAGUCAGAACAUGGGUGAUAAGGUCCGUGUUCGAAAGGGAAACAGCCCAGACCACCAGCUAAGGUCCCAAAAUAUAUGUUAAGUGGAAAAGGAUGUGGCGUUGCCCAGACAACUAGGAUGUUGGCUUAGAAGCAGCCAUCAUUUAAAGAGUGCGUAAUAGCUCACUAGUCGAGUGACACUGCGCCGAAAAUGUACCGGGGCUAAACAUAUUACCGAAGCUGUGGAUUGUCCUUUGGACAAUGGUAGGAGAGCGUUCUAAGGGCGUUGAAGCAUGAUCGUAAGGACAUGUGGAGCGCUUAGAAGUGAGAAUGCCGGUGUGAGUAGCGAAAGACGGGUGAGAAUCCCGUCCACCGAUUGACUAAGGUUUCCAGAGGAAGGCUCGUCCGCUCUGGGUU
rnacentral:rRNA from 1 species